rnacentral:rRNA from 1 species
AGAGUUUGAUCAUGGCUCAGGACGAACGCUGGCGGUGUGCCUAAAACAUGCAAGUCGUGCGGGAUACCCGCAAGGGUGUUCAGCGGCGAACGGGUGAGUAAUGUGUGGGAAUCGGCCCUCGAGACGGGAACAACCCGCCGAAAGGCGGGCUAAUACCAGAUGCGAUAGGUUCGGGAAACUGGUCCUAUCAAAGGAUGCCCUCUAUUUAUAAGGUAUCGCUCGAGGAAGAGCCCACAUCCUAUCAGCUAGUUGGCGGGGUAAAAGCCCACCAAGGCUAUGACGGGUAGCUGGUCUGAGAGGACGGCCAGCCACACUGGGACUGAGACACGGCCCAGACUCCUACGGGAGGCAGCAGUUGGGAAUAUUGCACAAUGGACGAAAGUCUGAUGCAGCGACACCGCGUGUGGGAUGAAGGCCUUCGGGUUGUAAACCACUGUCAGGGGGGACGAAGUGUUCCGGCCUAAUAUGCCGGAAUGUUGACGGUACUCCCAGAGGAAAGCCACCGUUACUCUGUGCCAGCAGCCGCGGUA